rnacentral:rRNA from 1 species
GAUGAACGCUGGCGGCGUGCCUAAUACAUGCAAGUCGAGCGAACAGACGAGGAGCUUGCUCCUUCGACGUUAGCGGCGGACGGGUGAGUAACACGUAGGUAACCUACCUAUAAGACUGGGAUAACUUCGGGAAACCGGAGCUAAUACCGGAUAAUAUUUCGAACCGCAUGGUUCGAUAGUGAAAGAUGGCUUUGCUAUCACUUAUAGAUGGACCUGCGCCGUAUUAGCUAGUUGGUAAGUUAACGGCUUACCAAGGCAACGAUACGUAGCCGACCUGAGAGGGUGAUCGGCCACACUGGAACUGAGACACGGUCCAGACUCCUACGGGAGGCAGCAGUAGGGAAUCUUCCGCAAUGGGCGAAAGCCUGACGGAGCAACGCCGCGUGAGUGAUGAAGGUCUUCGGAUCGUAAAACUCUGUUAUUAGGGAAGAACAAACGUGUAAGUAGCUGUGCACGUCUUGACGGUACCUAAUCAGAAAGCCACGGCUAACUACGUG